rnacentral:rRNA from 1 species
GACGUAGGAGGCGAGCGUUAUCCGGAUUCACUGGGCGUAAAGCGCAUGUAGGCGGUUGGACAAGUCGUGUGUUAAAGCCCCUGGCUCAACUGGGGGAGGUCAUGCGAGACUGUGCGACUUGAGGGCAAGAGAGGCACGUGGAACUCCCGGUGUAGCGGUGAAAUGCGUAGAGAUCGGGAAGAACAUCGGUGGCGAAAGCGCUCUACUGGACCGCAACUGACACUCAGGGACGAAAGCUAGGGGAGCGAAUGGG